rnacentral:rRNA from 1 species
CCUACGGGAGGCAGCAGUGAGGAAUAUUGGUCAAUGGACGAGAGUCUGAACCAGCCAAGUAGCGUGAAGGAUGACUGCCCUAUGGGUUGUAAACUUCUUUUAUAUGGGAAUAAACUGUUCCACGUGUGGGGUUUUGUAUGUACCCUAUGAAUAAGGAUCGGCUAACUCCGUGCCAGCAGCCGCGGUAAUACGGAGGAUCCGAGCGUUCUCCGGAUUUAUUGGGUUUAAAGGGAGCGUAGGUGGAUUGUUAAGUCAGGUGUGAAAGGUUGCGGCUCAACCGUAAAAUUGCAGUUGAAACUGGCAGUCUUGAGUACAGUAGAGGUGGGCGGAAUGCGUGGUGUAGCGGUGAAAUGCUUAGAUAUCACGAAGAACUCCGAUUGCGAAGGCAGCUCACUGGACUGCAACUGACACUGAGGCUCGAAAGUGUGGGUAUCAAACAGGAGUAGAUACCCCAGUAGGC